UUUUUUUUUUUUUUUUUGUGGAGACGGAGUUUUGCCAUGUUGCCCAGGCUGGGAAUCAGAUGGCUUUUUUUUUUCUCAUUUUUCCUCAAAUAAGCUAGUAUUUUAAUUUUUGUGAGCUGAUCAAGGUACCUGUGUGGGAGAUGUGCAGUCUCAACUGACAUACAUGUCAUUCCUGCCUAUCAUUUGUGGCCAUAGCUGAUGUUUGCACAACCUCAUGGGAAGAGCAAACUUUGGUGGUUAUAAACCCUUGGGUAACAUCCAGUGCAUUUAUACCAAACUGAUGUAAGGAAAAGCACAGUAAGUAGCUUCACCAUUCUAGGUGGUUGCUUUGACCUUACAGUUUUAGGGGAGCAGAGCCAGUGUCGGGGAAGAACUGCAAUGGAAGCAGAGAUGGCAGUCCCUAUGCGGCAGCAGCCCAUGUAAGAGGUGAUGUUCCUCUAUCUGAAAGGCAGAACAAAACAUUUCACCCUUUCUCCCAGAGGCCCCGUCAUCCAAGUGUCCUUCAGUGAGCAGAGAACAGGCCUCAGAACAAACUCCUUUUGGGACCCCCCUCUCGUUCUUUUUGAAUUAAGGUGGACUUUUCCUUCACAUACUGGUACUGAAGUCACAGGUCUGUUUAUUAAGAAGUAUGAAGGGCUCGGCAUGGUGGCUCAUGCCUGUAAUCCCAGCACUUUGGGAGGCUGAGGUGGAAAAAUAAUUAAGCUCAGACCAGGCUGGGUAGCAAAGUGAGACCCUGUCGUUGUACAAAAAAUAAAUUAGCAGGGCGUGGUGGGUGGCACACACCUGUAGCCCUUGCUAUUCAGGAGGCUGACACAGGAGGACAGCUUGAGCCUAGGAAGUCGAGGCUGCAGUGAGCCAUGAUUGCAUCAGUGCAUUGCAGCUUGGGUGACCCUGUCUCAAAAAAUAUGAAGAUGUUGAUAAAGUUCUUAAAAAACUAAAAAUCAAUUAGUUAAAUAAAAAAUAAAUUAAUUGCUAAACAUGAGUAAAAUGGAAAGCAAGGUUGUAUUUAAUUGUAUCUGUUCCCUCUCCAUUGUGAGGUUAAUCUGUUUGCAUAACUUGAGUGUUUGCAGUCUGGUUCAAGGGUAGGGUUGGAGCCAGGCCUGGCCCACCCAGCCUUCCCUGUUCUGGGACC
rnacentral:lncRNA from 1 species